rnacentral:rRNA from 1 species
AGAGUUUGAUCCUGGCUCAGGAUGAACGCUAGCUACAGGCUUAACACAUGCAAGUCGAGGGGCAGCAUGGUCUUAGCUUGCUAAGGCCGAUGGCGACCGGCGCACGGGUGAGUAACACGUAUCCAACCUGCCGUCUACUCUUGGACAGCCUUCUGAAAGGAAGAUUAAUACAAGAUGGCAUCAUGAGUCCACAUGUUCACAUGAUUAAAGGUAUUCCGGUAGACGAUGGGGAUGCGUUCCAUUAGAUAGUAGGCGGGGUAACGGCCCACCUAGUCUUCGAUGGAUAGGGGUUCUGAGAGGAAGGUCCCCCACAUUGGAACUGAGACACGGUCCAAACUCCUACGGGAGGCAGCAGUGAGGAAUAUUGGUCAAUGGGCGAGAGCCUGAACCAGCCAAGUAGCGUGAAGGAUGACUGCCCUAUGGGUUGUAAACUUCUUUUAUAAAGGAAUAAAGUCGGGUAUGCAUACCCGUUUGCAUGUACUUUAUGAAUAAGGAUCGGCUAACUCCGUGCCAGCAGCCGCGGUAAUACGGAGGAUCCGAGCGUUAUCCGGAUUUAUUGGGUUUAAAGGGAGCGUAGAUGGAUGUUUAAGUCAGUUGUGAAAGUUUGCGGCUCAACCGUAAAAUUGCAGUUGAUACUGGAUAUCUUGAGUGCAGUUGAGGCAGGCGGAAUUCGUGGUGUAGCGGUGAAAUGCUUAGAUAUCACGAAGAACUCCGAUUGCGAAGGCAGCCUGCUAAGCUGCAACUGACAUUGAGGCUCGAAAGUGUGGGUAUCAAACAGGAUUAGAUACCCUGGUAGUCCACACGGUAAACGAUGAAUACUCGCUGUUUGCGAUAUACUGCAAGCGGCCAAGCGAAAGCGUUAAGUAUUCCACCUGGGGAGUACGCCGGCAACGGUGAAACUCAAAGGAAUUGACGGGGGCCCGCACAAGCGGAGGAACAUGUGGUUUAAUUCGAUGAUACGCGAGGAACCUUACCCGGGCUUAAAUUGCAGAUGAAUUACGGUGAAAGCCGUAAGCCGCAAGGCAUCUGUGAAGGUGCUGCAUGGUUGUCGUCAGCUCGUGCCGUGAGGUGUCGGCUUAAGUGCCAUAACGAGCGCAACCCUUGUUGUCAGUUACUAACAGGUUCUGCUGAGGACUCUGACAAGACUGCCAUCGUAAGAUGUGAGGAAGGUGGGGAUGACGUCAAAUCAGCACGGCCCUUACGUCCGGGGCUACACACGUGUUACAAUGGGGGGUACAGAGGGCCGCUACCACGCGAGUGGAUGCCAAUCCCAAAAACCUCUCUCAGUUCGGACUGGAGUCUGCAACCCGACUCCACGAAGCUGGAUUCGCUAGUAAUCGCGCAUCAGCCACGGCGCGGUGAAUACGUUCCCGGGCCUUGCACUCACAGCCCGUCA